UACGUAGGGUGCAAGCGUUAAUCGGAAUUACUGGGCGUAAAGCGUGCGCAGGCGGCUUUGCAAGACAGAUGUGAAAUCCCCGGGCUUAACCUGGGAACUGCAUUUGUGACUGCAUGGCUGGAGUGCGGCAGAGGGGGAUGGAAUUCCGGCGUGUAGCAGUGAAAUGCGUAGAUAUGCGGAGGGAACACCGAUGGCGAAGGGCAAUCCCCUGGGCCUGCACUGACGCUCAUGCACGAAAGCGUGGGGAGCAAACAGG
rnacentral:rRNA from 1 species